GGUUGUAACCGCUUUUGUCAGGGAAGAAACGGGCGUUUCUAAUAAAGAUGCCUAAUGACGGUACCUGAAGAAUAGGCACCGGCUAACUACGUGCCAGCAGCCGCGGUAAUACGUAGGGUGCAAGCGUUAAUCGGAAUUACUGGGCGUAAAGCGUGCGCAGGCGGUUAUGCAAGACAGAUGUGAAAUCCCCGGGCUCAACCUGGGAACUGCAUUUGUGACUGCAUGGCUAGAGUACGGUAGAGGGGGAUGGAAUUCCGCGUGUAGCAGUGAAAUGCGUAGAUAUGCGGAGGAACACCGAUGGCGAAGGCAAUCCCCUGGACCUGUACUGACGCUCAUGCACGAAAGCGUGGGGAGCAAACAGGAUUAGAUACCCUGGUAGUCC
rnacentral:rRNA from 1 species